GACGAGCCUGACGAACGUUAUUCGGAAUCGCUGGGCUUAAAGGGUGCGUAGGCGGUGCGGAUAGUCGGGUGUGAAAUCCCUCAGCUCAACUGGGGAACUGCACUCGAUACUUCCGUGCUAGAGUAAGACAGAGGUAAGUGGAACUGAGGGUGGAGCGGUGAAAUGCGUUGAUAUCAGGAGGAACACCAAUGGCGAAGGCAGCUCGCUGGGACGGUACUGACGCUGAGGCGCGAAAGCGUGGGGAGCAAACAGG
rnacentral:rRNA from 1 species